UUCGUUCGCCCUCUCGGUCUCGGGUGUUUCCUUUUUUAAGCCGGUCGCCGCAAGCCGAGGCUGUGAUUGCACUCCUCCUCGGCGCAUGCGUCAUCAGUGACCCCCGCGGGCUCCGACGGCUGGUGCUCUGCGUUCGCCCCUCCCCUCACUCUCCCUUUCCCCGGCGCGUCUCGGUGCGCAUGCGACUUGCCUCGUUAGGCAGCCGUGAGCUGCGGAGGGAUUCCCGGGCGCCGGAGGAGACUCCCGCUCCCUUGGGCCGCGCGUUUGCGCGAUCCGCGGCUGCCGCCGGCAGUGCAGGAAAACCGAGAUCUCCCUGGCGCUCCUUCCCCGCACCGGUUACUGGAAAGCAGGGGAGGCGGGGCCUGGUCGGCUGAGGGUGCGGCCGAACCCGGGAGUGUUAACUUUGGGUCAGGGCGGCUUUGGUUUUCACCCUGGAUUCGAGGAGCGAGGAGGAAAGGGAUCCAGAGGCCAAAAAGCGGACCCUCUCUCUCUUGAAAAGCAAAUCAUUUUGCCAACGCCAGGAAAAAACUUUCGGGUGUUGGCGGGCGAAAGACUUUUUUCCCCUUCCAAUGGUGCACUGCUUUAGUCGCUUCUGAUUGGAGGCUGGGCCUGGGGAGACCGGACGUGAAUCCUUGGCUGGAGGAGGGAAGCCAAAGAAGUGUACUCAAGAUAAAAGGAACAUCAGAAUCGAGGAACUUAUUCAGAUCCCUGGUCAUUCACCUGAGGAUUUUUCUGUCGACAGUGGGAAAGCAUGAUGGAGUCAUCAUAUGACAGGAUUUUAGUGACAUUUUUUUUCCUGCUUAGCAGUCUUUCCCUAUUCUGAUCAUUUCCUUUGGAGAACUAUCCUUUCUUCACUCUCAGACCAUAUGGUUGGGGCAGGACUCCAGAGGAAAACAUAUUUGAGUUAAUCCUCUGCCUUAGUUUAGACUUACUAAGAAGGGUGAUCUCUCUUUUCCAAUGGAUUUAAGUCUGGAAAAAUGGAAGCCUGAAGCCAUCUUCCCACUCACAGAUUCUGAGAAAGAAGGCAACAUGGAAGAAAGAUUCAAAAAUGGAGAUUUGGCCUGGAGACAUGUUUGAUGCCCUGAAUCCAUUGUGGACUAGAUAAUUAUGGAAAUUUCAGCUAAGUUACUCAAUAAAUUCUUUCAUGUAUUUAUUGCUUAAA